CACAAAAAUCCGGGAAAUAUAGAGAAUACGGACAAAUUUAACGGUAUUUGAGUUUUUUUAUUGUUUACCGGUUUGAAAUUAUCGUAGAGAUCUUUAUUUUUAAAACAUACUACACUUAUAGGAUUUUCGUAGACGAGGUAAAAUUUUCAAAACAUUUGAACUAAUUUUAAACUAUUUAUGUCUUACUAAAAUUUGAUCAUUUAAGAGUAAUCCUUGAAAAUUUAAUAUACAGUAGCAGUUGAAGGUAUGAUAAUAGUUGUGCUUAGUGAGUUAAAAAAUACAUUUGAGUUUAAUGAUUAUUUUUUUUGUAAGCGUUUUAAGAUCAUUUUUUGACGAAAAUCGUAAAAAUUACGGUAUUUCAAAAUAUAUCUCACAGAACUUUGCACCGAAUCGUUUUUCAUUAGCAAUAAUAUAUUUUUGUGUUUAAAUAUAAAUUAACUAACUCUACAUAUUCUUUUUUCGCGAUUUGAUUUUCCAUCUGAAAUGGCUUCAUCCGUCUUCAGUAUCGGCUUU